UUUCUGAAAGUAUUGAAAGGUACCUGUUAGAUAGAAUGCUCAUAAACAUGUAAUUUUUGUUAUAAAGUAGUUUAAUCUUGGCAAAAUAUGUACUAUACACGCCGAUACCAAAUUUUUAAUUUCAAACAUUCGGAUUCCAAAACUUUCAAAUUGAAAAGCGUCAGUUCAUACAUAAUAUAGCGUCCAAAAGCGCGACAACCAGCAUCGCAAAGCGAAAACUCGUUGAUCGCAAGAGCAAAUACAAUUUUCUUUCAGUAUCAAGUUCAGGGGAAUAAGCGACACUUAUGGUAAGGGCGGUAUGUUAAGUCGAUCUUUUAUGAUGCGCCGGCCUCUCCACGUUCGCUGGAGGCAAUUUUCGUUGCUCAGCCGAUCGGUUGGGCGUCUGAUGCACACGCAUUUUAAUGUUGUUGGGCGAUGCGGUGGGAAUUUGUCGGAGAUGAGUGUAGGCAUCAUACGAACGAUCGCCAAAGUUAUUUUGUGAGCGAAAGUUCUCAACUUCUCGUGCUUUUUAUAUUAUUUUUGUUUUAAAUAUAUAGAUAACGAUCUCGAUAUAUUGUACAGUGUUAAUCGGGAUAAUUCAGACAGAAUUAUAUUUGAACAUGCCACAAAGGUUCGUAAAGAAAACAGCAAGAUUUGUGAUAUGCAAUUCAAAUAAUAAUUGUGUUAUUUUCAGGUAUAUUCGAUAUGGAAAAUACCUAAGAGAAAAUUACUGAAGCCGAUUUCAUAAAUCGCUUUCGUUUCUCACAGGAAAUUGUGCAAAAUGUUUUGUUGACAUUAACCACUCACCAAGAACAGAACAAAUCACAAAUCGAGGCCUUGAUACAGGCGUAAGAUUUAAGAAGUGAAACCAUUUUAAGUCGAAAAUAAAGCUGUCUGGUGUGGAAAUAGCGUGGCAAGACUGAAGGUGAAAUGGGAGGGACAUCUCAUGAGAACGGAGGACAAUAGAUGGUCUAGGAAAGUGACCGAAUGGCGACCAAGAGGAUGCAGAAGACACCCCGGAAGACUAGGUGGAAGGCGAUAUCCAGAAAGUAGGGGGAGUGAAAUGGAGGAGUAGAACAGCUGAGAGAACCGGAUGAAUGGAAUGUCCAUGGAUUGUCCGAGACACGUUGAGAAUGAUGAUGAUAAAUCAAAUUGAUCUUUGUACAUUCACACAUAAAGCAACAAGUAUUUACGUAAUGUUAAUGAGAAAAACGCCACUUAGAUGUGCGAUCAAAUACAUUCUUGUGCAAUUUCCGACUGCCGAUAGGUCAGUUUUAUGUGAGAAUUAUUGUACUAUACAGUAUCGCAUUUUUUGCCAUAAAGCUAGCUUGCCAUAAGCAUAAGAUGACAAACCCAAAGUGUACUCUAAUAAACGAAUAUGCAUUACUAAAAA